rnacentral:rRNA from 1 species
UACGAAGGGGGCUAGCGUUGCUCGGAAUUACUGGGCGUAAAGCGCACGUAGGCGGUCUUUUAAGUCGGGGGUGAAAUCCUGGAGCUCAACUCCAGAACUGCCUCGAUACUGGAAGACUCGAGUCCGGGAGAGGUGAGUGGAACUGCGAGUGUAGAGGUGAAAUUCGUAAGAUAUUCGCAAGAACACCAGUGGCGAAGGGCGGACUCGC